rnacentral:lncRNA from 9 species
CAAGCAGUGAGCGGGGGAGUUAGCGCACGCACUUGAACUCGGGCCAGACGGCCAGACGCACCAGUUCCAGUCCUGCUCGGAGCGGAGGGCGAGGCCACGCCCCCAGCGGGCGGGGCUAAGCCCGCUGUCAGUCAUCCCGCCGUGAGGCUCUGCUGGGGAAGAAGUCUCGGCUGGAGGGUGGCGCUCUGGUGAAGCCUUGCAAAGAAGAUCGUUUUUAUAUUAGAGUCAAAACAUCACAGGAGGCCGUCUAUAAUCAUGAAAACCCAGAAAUAAUCUCACCGCCCAGCAAGAGGGGAUCUAUUCGGUUAUUUAUGACAUACGUUGAAGCAGCCAUUACAAAUGCGAUUAAAGAAAAAGGAGAAAGGAAACAAUGUAUGAUAUUUUUCUGGAGAAAAAUAAAGCAGAUUUCAAGUACUUUAUCCUGGGCUUUGUCAUUUCUCACCUGGGUGACUGCUGCAGCCGCCUCUCUGGUCACCUUGCUCUGUUCUCACCUAUACCUGCUGACUGCACAUGCUGAAGCCACUGAAGCCAGAACGAUCUCUCCACCACGCGGACCUGGCUAUGUCACUCCCAACCCGAAACCCUCCAC